CAUUGUCGCCUUAAGUUCAAGGUUUCCAAAACAAGGUUAAUCCGUUUUGGUGUAUAAAAUUACGUUAAUCGGUCUCUAAGAAAAAGAAACGAAAGUUUCAUUCGAUGAGUAAAAAGAAGAUAUCUUCGAUUUUUUAAAAAGUGACAGAGUAUAAAUAUUAUUUUUAUUUUAUGGUUCAAAUAAAAGUUUUAUAGUACUCUCAGGAAAUAGCUUUAAAAAAUAAAAACCGUACCUUAAACCGACACAGGUGAACGGAUUUAGUAAAUUAAGGCGCUUGAGAGAAUUAUGUUGAAGGAACUCGGCAAAAUGACUCCGUAACUUCGGGAUAAGGAGUAGCUUUAUUUGGGCAACCAAAUAAAGCUGUCACAAAAUCGGGGACAGCGACUGUUUAUUAAAAACACAGGUCUCUGCUAAUUCGUAAGAAGAUGUAUUGAGACUGACGCCUGCCCAGUGCUGCAAGAUUAAAGGAAAUUGUUUUUAGCUUUUUCCCUAAACCCCAGUAAACGGCGGCUGUAACUCUGACGGUCCUAAGGUAGCAAAAUUCCUUGGCAUUUAAUUGGUGUCCUGCAUGAAUGGCGUAACGACUGUCCCACUGUCUCCAACGUAAACUCAGUGAAAUUGAAUUUUCCGUGAAGAUGCGGAAUUCUUACGGCUAGACGGAAAGACCCCGUGCACCUUUACUAUAGUUAUGCAUUGUAUUAAAACUUUUUUUGUGUAGCAUAAGUGGGAAGUUGAAUCUUCAAACAUUUGCACAAGCAAAUUGUUUAAACAGUAAUGAAAUACCACUCCUAAAAACUUUUAAUGCUUAUUAAUUUAAAGAGACACUGUAUAAUGGGUAGUUUGACUGGGGCGGUCGCCUCCUAAAGAGUAACGGAGGUGUGCAAAAGUAAAUUUAGGUUGAAACUAACAACUUUUAAGCGUAAUAGCAUAUAUUUGCUUGACUGUAAGAUUGACAAAUCGAACAGGGACGAAAGUCGGUUAUAGUGAUCCGGUGAUUCUGAGUGGAAAAGGUCACCGCUCAACGAAUAAAAGGUACGCCGGGGAUAACAGGCUAAUCACUCUCUAGAGACCUUAUCGACGGAGUGGUUUGGCACCUCGAUGUUGGAUUAUCGCAUCCUGGAACUGUAUGCGGUUCCAAGGGUUUGGCUGUUCGCCAAUGAAGGCGGUACAUGAUCUGAGUUUAGAACGUCGUGAGACAGUUUGGUCCCUAUCUACCGCAAGUGCAAAAAAUUGAAAGGAGUAAACCCUAGUACGAGAGGACCGGGAAAAGUAAAUCUCUGGUGAAUCGAUUGUUAUACCAAUAGCAUAGUCGAGUAGCUACAUUUAUAAUAAAUAAUCACUGAAAGCAUCUAAGUGAGAAAUUAGCCUUAAUACAAAUUUUUUUUAAAAUGUAAUAGAUUAUUACAUAGAUAGGCUUGGUGUGUAAGAGUUGUAAGAUUUUUAGCUAACAAGUACUAAAUUAAUUUUUAAAUAAACUU
rnacentral:rRNA from 1 species